UAAGGGGAAUAUCUCGGGGAAUCAGGAGUGAGAUGACUCGUCCGAACUGGAAGGUCGAAUCCCCAGACGCGCACUCCUUUGCUGCAGUCCCAACAAACCAGUGAUACAAGAAGAAAUAGAAAGAGUUUGUUAGCUCAGCCCUCAACGCUUCUUCUCGAUGUAACACUGUUUGUCCUCAAGAUGAUCAAACCGUGCCACCGAGACGCAAGGAGGAAUGCAAGCAAAGAGGUUGCUUCUGACUCCGGAAAACGUGACCUAGGUGACACUCACGCCCUCCAGCUACAGUUACAAUGGCGCCAAGAUAUCUGAUCCAGUAGGAGAGGAGCAUAAAUAUCGAACCAGGUAGUACGAG
rnacentral:sRNA from 1 species